rnacentral:lncRNA from 1 species
GGAAGUUUAUUCCCAAGUCAGGAUAGGAGCAGACUCAGUUUUGCCCUCAGAGGCAGAGGCAUCAGGUUUUCUGAUGCAGGUGUUUUGGCACAUUCAGAUCUGAGCUGAAUCAGUGUGCACCUCUUUCCCCCUCUCAGCACUGAGCCACCAGAAGAUGAAUCUGGCUGGUUCUGAGAUUCAUUCACCAAAAUAUAUAAUAUUUCAGACAGAGGGAGGUAGGUGGCAGAGGAAGACUGCAGCUUGAGAGAGUAAGUGUCUCGAUGGAAGGAAACAAGAAAUUCAUGUUUUCAGCAGAGCACAAACAGAGAACUUAGUCCUCACAGCUGCAAAAUCCAACUCCAUCUUCAGAAAUGAGGCUGGAAAAACAAACAAGAAGGGGAGAGGAAAACAAUAAGAAAGGAAUGAACAAACAUACUAACACCACAGGGCUUUUUUGCUGGGAUCUUCAUGCUGGAUGGUCAUACUUUUUAAGAAGAAUCUCUUCUCAUGCUGAAGGCGGGCACUUCCCUGAAGAGCAAAGAGUUUUACCUGUACCUAUGAAUCAGUCAGUGAGCUGGCACAGGAGCCGGGGAAUUGGCUGGGACCUGGCUUUACUGGUUUUGCUGUGCAGAGAUGCUGCUGCCUCCAGAAGCCCUUGUGCACGUUCCUGGGGUAAGCAGGUAGCUGCUUGCCAGGCAGCUGAAGCAGGGGCUGAGGGUGAUUUCCAGGGAAAUCAGAAACACUCAAGAAAAAACUGUUGGGGAAAGCUUGUCAUCGGCUCCAUGCUCCAGAUGUCCAGAGGAAGAUCAGGAUACUCAGGAACCCCUUACAGCUCUUUUCUCUCUAGAUAUUAUAUAUAA